rnacentral:rRNA from 1 species
UUACAGCCAUAUCACGUUGAAACACAGGUUCCCGUACGAUCACCGAAGUUAAGCAACGUCGAGACUGGUCAGUACCUAGAUGGGUGACCGCUUGGGAAUACCAGUUGCUGUAAG